AUGGAGCCGACCUUGAAAUACCACCCUUUAAUGUUUGAUGUUCUAACGUUGACCCGUAAUCCGGGUUGCGGACAGUGUCUGGUGGGUAGUUUGACUGGGGCGGUCUCCUCCUAAAGAGUAACGGAGGAGCACGAAGGUUGGCUAAUCCUGGUCGGACAUCAGGAGGUUAGUGCAAUGGCAUAAGCCAGCUUGACUGCGAGCGUGACGGCGCGAGCAGGUGCGAAAGCAGGUCAUAGUGAUCCGGUGGUUCUGAAUGGAAGGGCCAUCGCUCAACGGAUAAAAGGUACUCCGGGGAUAACAGGCUGAUACCGCCCAAGAGUUCAUAUCGACGGCGGUGUUUGGCACCUCGAUGUCGGCUCAUCACAUCCUGGGGCUGAAGUAGGUCCCAAGGGUAUGGCUGUUCGCCAUUUAAAGUGGUACGCGAGCUGGGUUUAGAACGUCGUGAGACAGUUCGGUCCCUAUCUGCCGUGGGCGCUGGAGAACUGAGGGGGGCUGCUCCUAGUACGAGAGGACCGGAGUGGACGCAUCACUGGUGUUCGGGUUGUCAUGCCAAUGGCACUGCCCGGUAGCUAAAUGCGGAAGAGAUAAGUGCUGAAAGCAUCUAAGCACGAAACUUGCCCCGAGAUGAGUUCUCCCUGACCCUUUAAGGGUCCUGAAGGAACGUUGAAGACGACGACGUUGAUAGGCCGGGUGUGUAAGCGCAGCGAUGCGUUGAGCUAAC
rnacentral:rRNA from 1 species